rnacentral:lncRNA from 1 species
GGACUACUUAUAUCAAGAUCAAGAAGCACUAUUGUUAGAAAGACUUAUAUAAGGAUGUAGAAGAAUUUUGACUUCUUAUAAAGAGUACCAAUUGCAAUCGAAGAUGAUACAUAAAGAUAGUUUAUGUCCUACCUAUUGACUUGCUAUUCAUUUUCAAUAGAUGAUUGAUUUAGUUGUCAUUUCAAUAGGACUUUGGAAUAUAAAAUAUUUAAUUUUGGCAAAAGAGAAAUACUUCAAUUAUAUUUAAGGAAAGAAAUUGAGGAUAAAAUCUAUGGAGGUGGUGUGUUGAUUUAUUUUGGAAGAUAUUAUUUGUUACUAUGGAAGU